GCAGGAGUUCCCGAGCGGUCAAAGGGGCGGGACUUAAGAUCCCGUGGCUUAGUGCCUUCACAGGUUCGAAUCCUGUCUCCUGCA
rnacentral:tRNA from 1 species